rnacentral:rRNA from 1 species
CCUACGGGAGGCAGCAGUGGGGAAUAUUGCACAAUGGGGGAAACCCUGAUGCAGCAACGCCGCGUGAAGGAUGAAGGUUUUCGGCUUGUAAACUCCUAUCAUCAGGGACGAUAAUGACGGUAUUUCCCGAAUAAGCACCGGCUAACUACGUGCCAGCAGCCGCGGUAAUACGUCGGGUGCAAGCGUUACUCGGAAUCACUGGGUGUAAAGGGUGAGUAGUCGGCAUCGUAAGUCGGAUGUGAAAGCCUAGGGCUUAACCAGAGAACUGCAUUUGAAACUGUUAUGCUAGAGUACAGGAGAGGUAAGCGGAAUUCCUAGUGUAGCGGUGAAAUGCGUAGAUAUUAGGAGGAACACUCGUGGCGAAGGCGGCUUGCUGGA